rnacentral:rRNA from 1 species
CAUGCAAGUCGAGCGGAGAGAGGUAGCUUGCUACUGAUCUUAGCGGCGGACGGGUGAGUAAUGCUUAGGAAUCUGCCUAUUAGUGGGGGACAACAUCUCGAAAGGGAUGCUAAUACCGCAUACGUCCUACGGGAGAAAGCAGGGGAUCUUCGGACCUUGCGCUAAUAGAUGAGCCUAAGUCGGAUUAGCUAGUUGGUGGGGUAAAGGCCUACCAAGGCGACGAUCUGUAGCGGGUCUGAGAGGAUGAUCCGCCACACUGGGACUGAGACACGGCCCAGACUCCUACGGGAGGCAGCAGUGGGGAAUAUUGGACAAUGGGGGGAACCCUGAUCCAGCCAUGCCGCGUGUGUGAAGAAGGCCUUAUGGUUGUAAAGCACUUUAAGCGAGGAGGAGGCUACUUUAGUUAAUACCUAGAGAUAGUGGACGUUACUCGCAGAAUAAGCACCGGCUAACUCUGUGCCAGCAGCCGCGGUAAUACAGAGGGUGCAAGCGUUAAUCGG